AAAUACCUAGAAAUGGAUUGGAAGAUGUUCGUGGGAAAACGAAGCUAGGGGAUUGAUGUUCCUAAAUCAAGAACCCAAGUAUCGUCCUUAUUUUGGUAAUGCUAAAGAGUUGUACUAAGUUCUCCUUAGGAUUUAGAGGUCUUUCAUUGCUUACUUCAUGUGUCUUAACUUUACCAAACUGUGUUAUCUAACAAAUCACAUCUUGUAUUUUGUAUUUUGUUUUAAAUUGAAUGCCCUUUUUCAAAAAAAAAAAUAGUGAGAAAGGACAGCAAAUUAAAACAACAGUAAAAUACAGUGACCAUAAAAUUAAAUCAUAAUUAAAUUAAAUCAUACUUUGGGUCAUGCUUAUGUUUGUGUUAAUUAAUAAGAAUAUAAGAUGAACGCUGAAGUAGAAAUAAAUGUCCCUGUGAUAGAUUUUAUGUACAUAUAUGUAUGGACCAUGAAAAAAUAUAUAUAUACGAGUAUAUACGCUCAUAUAUACUAUAUUAUAUAUAUAUAUAUAUAUAUUAGAAUGUAAACUGUAAACUUAUAACAAAAUAUGUGUGAAAUUCUAGAUCAUAUCUUAUUUCCAUAGUUUGAUCGAAUAGUUACAUUUCUAUUUUCAUUUUUCUCGUCAUAUUAAAAAAAACUCUAUAAGUACUUUGAAAAAUAAAAUCACUCUGUUGGGCUCAUACGCAUAGUAAAAAUAAACUUUGAUAUCACAGAUUAUAAAUAAAUACUUUUUAUACAUAAAAAUAUUUAUGUUUGAAAUUUUUACACAUAUUAAGAAAAUAUAUUAUAUUUAAAUUAUAAAUAUAUUAUUUUAUAAUUAAUUUUUUCAUACAGUUUUUACCCAAUAAAAUUCAACGGCUACAAUUAAUUUUUUGAAAUGUACGUAUAGUUUACGAUUAUGUAAUAAAAAUAGAUUGAAAAACUAAAAGUAUCUCUUUUGAAAUAUUUUUUAAACUGUUUAUUUUUUGAAAUGCAGAGAAUAUUGAAUGUAGAAAACGAAGGGCAAAAAAAUGACAUUAUAUUUAUAUACGAGCCAGUCACGUAGAUAUCACGAGUCUCUUUAGUAACAACGACCAAAAGCUUUGCCAUUUAAGGCACUGCUCUAAAUUCUUUUUGUCCUUUGUCUCUCACGAACAAUAUCUAUUAAAUGUAACCAAGCGCUCGUAGCUUGGUGGUAAAGGAGGUACAGCUGUACUGCCCGCCACCCGGGUUCGAGUCUUGGCCACAACGGAUUUAACAUCCCUUCCGUUGGGGCGCUGGACCCCUUUCGGGGAUAGUUGGGAAUGUGGCUGCCCAGAUAAAAAAAAAAAAAAAAAAAAAAUAUCUAUUAAAUGUUCACCGAUUUUCAUUGAAAAUAUUUACUGAUGUGUUGUAUUAUAUGUUUUUUUUGUUUAACCUAGAGAUAUCCCGAGGAAGCCCACAAAUAUUUUUUUUUGGAUACACAAAUGACUGAAUGAGCAGUAAGCCGAAGCUAUAUUUGUAUAAUUAUCAAGAAAUUAUGAUUUAGUUUUGUACAACAUGUAGAUCGAACUUGAAACAUAUUAACAUUUCACAUCCAUUUUUUUAUCAUUCGACCACAAAUUUUAUACGAAUUAUAUGCUUGCGAUAUAUAUUUACUUGAUUGUAAAACACUUUCUCAAAAAAAAUUUGUAAAACAUACGUUCGAACGUUUAAUGUUCAAAAAAAAAAACAUACGUUCGAACAUCUCAUCAUUUUUCCUCAGAUGACUCAGAGAAACAAUUCUUCUGAGUAUUGACUGCAGUCGAACACGCGUUAUAAGGAAGUCAGAGCGAACAUGGAAUUGUCUUACGUAAGGAUUACCAUGGAAAUGACCUCUAUUGGAUUUUGUCUAAGGUUUAUGCACGGUGGUGUUGUUUAUUUGUUUUGAAAUCCCUCGCUGGAGCUACUCCAAGACGGAUGAGAUUCUAUUUGCAAAUACAAU
rnacentral:lncRNA from 1 species